rnacentral:rRNA from 1 species
UACGUAGGGUGCGAGCGUUAAUCGGAAUUACUGGGCGUAAAGCGUGCGCAGGCGGUUUUGUAAGCCAGAUGUGAAAUCCCCGGGCUUAACCUGGGAAUGGCAUUUGGGACUGCAAGGCUGGAGUUUGGCAGAGGAGACUGGAAUUCCUGGUGUAGCAGUGAAAUGCGCAGAUAUCGGGAGGAACACCUAUGGCGAAGGCAGCUCGCUGGGACGUUACUGACGCUGAGACGCGAAAGCGUGGGGAGCAAACAGG